rnacentral:rRNA from 1 species
AUUGAACGCUGGCGGCAUGCUUUACACAUGCAAGUCGAACGGCAGCGCGGGCUUCGGCCUGGCGGCGAGUGGCGAACGGGUGAGUAAUGCAUCGGAACGUGCCCAGUAGUGGGGGAUAGCCCGGCGAAAGCCGGAUUAAUACCGCAUACGACCUGAGGGUGAAAGCGGGGGACCGAAAGGCCUCGCGCUAUUGGAGCGGCCGAUGUCGGAUUAGCUAGUUGGUGGGGUAAAGGCUUACCAAGGCGACGAUCCGUAGCUGGUCUGAGAGGACGACCAGCCAACCUGGGACUGGGAAACGGCCCAGACUCCUACGGGAGGCAGCAGUGGGGAAUUUUGGAAAAUGGGGGCAACCCUGAUCCAGCCAUGCCGCGGGCGGGAAGAAGGCCUUCGGGUUGUAAACCGCUUUUGUUCGGGAAGAAAUCCUCUGGGCUAAUACCCCGGGGGGAUGACGGUACCGGAAGAAUAAGCACCGGCUAACUACGU